rnacentral:hammerhead_ribozyme from 1 species
AUCCAGCUGACGAGUCCCAAAUAGGACGGAAUAUGCACCCUAGAU